rnacentral:rRNA from 1 species
UGGUGGAGUGAUUUGUCUGGUUAAUUCCGUUAACGAACGAGACCUCGACCUGCUAAAUAGUAUGAGCUCCUCCGGAGUGUCAUGCUUCUUAGAGGGACUGUCGGAUUUUAGCCGAAGGAAGUUCGAGGCAAUAACA